GACGAACGCUGGCGGCGUGCCUAAUACAUGCAAGUAGAACGCUGAAGAGAGGAGCUUGCUCUUCUUGGAUGAGUUGCGAACGGGUGAGUAACGCGUAGGUAACCUGCCUUGUAGCGGGGGAUAACUAUUGGAAACGAUAGCUAAUACCGCAUAACAAUGGAUGACACAUGUCAUUUAUUUGAAAGGGGCAAUUGCUCCACUACAAGAUGGACCUGCGUUGUCUUAGCUAGUAGGUGAGGUAACGGCUCACCAAGGCAACGAUCGAAAGCCGACCUGAGAGGUGGAUCGCCCCACUGGGACCGAGACACGGGCCAGGAUUCUACGGGGGGGAGGAGUAGGGAAUCUUCCGCAAUGGGGGGAAACCCUGACGAGCAAAGCCGCGGGGGUGAAGAAGGGUCUCGGAUCGGAAAGAUCCGUUGUAAGGCAAGGAAGAGUGUGGGAGUUGAAAGUGCACAUUGUGACGGUAGCUUAUCAGAAAGAGACGGCUAACUACGUG
rnacentral:rRNA from 1 species